rnacentral:rRNA from 1 species
UACAGGGGGUGCAAACGUUGCUCGGAAUUAUUGGGUGUAAAGCGCGCGUAGGCGGCCACUUAAGUCGGAUGUGAAAGCCCUUGGCUCAACUGAGGAAGUGCACCCGAAACUGAAUGGCUUGAGUACUAAAGAGGGUCGCGGAAUUCCCGGUGUAGAGGUGAAAUUCGUAGAUAUCGGGAGGAACACCGGUGGCGAAGGCGGCGACCUGGGUAGAUACUGACGCUGAGGUGCGAAAGCGUGGGGAGCAAACAGG